rnacentral:rRNA from 1 species
CACGUAGGGCGCAAGCGUUGUCCGGAAUUAUUGGGCGUAAAGAGCUCGUAGGCGGUCUGUUGCGUCCGCUGUGAAAACCCGGGGCUUAACCCCUGGCUUGCAGUGGAUACGGACAGACUAGAGGUAGGUAGGGGAGAAUGGAAUUCCCGGUGUAGCGGUGAAAUGCGCAGAUAUCGGGAGGAACACCGGUGGCGAAGGCGGGUCUCUGGACAGUUCCUGACGCUGAGGCACGAAGGUCAGGGGAGCAAACGGG